AAUAAAAAUGGUAUUUUUAUUAUGAAUUGUAGGGAUUUUACCUUUUUGACCCUACACAAUUCAUACACACAUUAAUAACACCAAGAUCAAAUCUUAUCUUUCCCUUUGAGAUAUAUUCUUUUAGAUUUACUUUACCCUUUCCUUUAUUAAUUAUUUUAUCCUAGAAUUAUUUGUACAGAAAUUGAUCUAUACUCUUUCGAGAGUUUCUGUCGAGAUCUCAGAAACCAAACAAACACAUUCAAGCACAUUCAUCGACCAAGAAAGAGAAUUGAAACAACAUAGAGGAAAUAAGGAAAGGAAGAUGCAAACAGGGAUUUAGCGAGGUUCACCCCAAAAAAUCUGGGGUUACAUCCUCGUGAGCUCGCUUCAGAGUUAUGAGGGCUCGAUCUGCACUAUCAAUGGUGAAGUCUUACAACAAACAUCAAGAAUCCAGCCACAAUCUUAGCAGAUACAACAGCAAGCAAAAAAAAUCUCUUGCAUACAGAGUUGGCUUUUUCUUCAGAAUGAUAAGUCUCUUGCCUUUUUUGUUCUUUAAAACUUAUAAAUAUAUAUAUAUAUACACACACACAAAAGAGUAGAUUAGCUUGGGGUUGUAACAAAACUGUUUUGGGAUCCGGUUAAAAUCUGCUGAGCUGUAAUAAUGAGCUAACUGAAUGUAAUCUAUUUCUGCUAAGAGUAUUCUUGAUUCUAUAUGGGAACUUGUUUAUUGAACAUGAAUAAA